rnacentral:rRNA from 1 species
AUUGAACGCUGGCGGCAGGCCUAACACAUGCAAGUCGAGCGGAUGAAGGGAGCUUGCUCCUGGAUUCAGCGGCGGACGGGUGAGUAAUGCCUAGGAAUCUGCCUGGUAGUGGGGGAUAACGUCCGGAAACGGGCGCUAAUACCGCAUACGUCCUGAGGGAGAAAGUGGGGGAUCUUCGGACCUCACGCUAUCAGACGAGCCUAGGUCGGAUUAGUUAGUUGGUGGGGUAAAGGCCUACCAAGGCGACGAUCCGUAACUGGUCUGAGAGGAUGAUCAGUCACACUGGAACUGAGACACGGUCCAGACUCCUACGGGAGGCAGCAGUGGGGAAUAUUGGACAAUGGGCGAAAGCCUGAUCCAGCCAUGCCGCGUGUGUGAAGAAGGUCUUCGGAUUGUAAAGCACUUUAAGUUGGGAGGAAGGGCAGUAAGUUAAUACCUUGCUGUUUUGACGUUACCAACAGAAUAAGCACCGGCUAACUUCGUG